rnacentral:rRNA from 1 species
GACGAACGCUGGCGGCGUGCUUAACACAUGCAAGUCGAACGGAAAGGCCCUUCGGGGUACUCGAGUGGCGAACGGGUGAGUAACACGUGGGUGAUCUGCCCUGCACUUUGGGAUAAGCCUGGGAAACUGGGUCUAAUACCGAAUAGGACCACGCGCUUCAUGGUGUGUGGUGGAAAGCUUUUGCGGUGUGGGAUGGGCCCGCGGCCUAUCAGCUUGUUGGUGGGGUAAUGGCCUACCAAGGCGACGACGGGUAGCCGGCCUGAGAGGGUGACCGGCCACACUGGGACUGAGAUACGGCCCAGACUCCUACGGGAGGCAGCAGUGGGGAAUAUUGCACAAUGGGCGCAAGCCUGAUGCAGCGACGCCGCGUGAGGGAUGACGGCCUUCGGGUUGUAAACCUCUUUCAAUAGGGACGAAGCGCAAGUGACGGUACCUAUAGAAGAAGCACCGGCCAACUACGU